UGGAUAGUCAUGAAACUAGGGAG
rnacentral:piRNA from 1 species